AUUGAUAAUAAAAUAUGAAAACGAUUUCCCUGUAAGUACAACCAUGAAUUUUUUUCACUUACACAUUAAAUCCUUGAACGACCCCUUUUCAUACAAUAUAUUGUAACGAUGCUAUGAAAGAUGUCCAUUGGCUAAGUCUAGAGUUUUUUCUUUCCUUGUUUCUCUUUACAGGGCACUCACCAUCUUUCCCAUAGUUCUGCAUGACCCAAAUUCAGGUGGAACCAGCCUACAGUUGCACUUAAUGUCAUGCCUGGAUUGUAGAACAAAGCGGCUUUGUGUAGAAGUAUAAAAUACAAACUGGCGAGGCUCACAGGCAAAUGGUAUACAGAGACAAACAAAGCUGCAAAACACAGAACUAGCGAUCUGAGUCAAUGGCAUCCCAUUAGCAGCGCCAUAGUGUGGGCUGUAAUUAGGCAGCUUUGUCUGGCUGAUUGUGUUAAAGCCUGGCACCUGCAGCUGUGGGUAUCUGGCACCGACUGCCGAGCUAUAGCACUUUGGGGUAUAAUUACAGAACAUUAGCUUUAUUCAGCUCUGGAUUGUCCUUGGUAUAAUAUCAGCUUCCAUUAUCAGAGAGGACUACCGCGCAGUUCAAGGGCUUACAGCAGCUGCUUGAAGCAGUGAACAAGGAUCUUAUCUUCCUUAAUUUGGUUGGGUUUGGGAGAGAAUCUGCCUAAAUCUGUUUUUGAGGACUGUUUUUUUAUGUUAGUAUCAUCUCUUAAAAACACUUGCUUCAUACUUAUUGUAACAAACAUUUAACAUGAAAUAUACAGUUAUGCACUACCCAUAUACCCAUUUGCAGCAAUUUCCUUCUACAAGCUCAUAUGGUUCUCAUUCGUUUAGUUUUUAGUUAAUGAGAAGCCACUUGCGGCUAAAGUGUACGUAUGCACACUUUUCUCUGUCACUUAAAUUAGAUAUUACUGUCUUUGUAUAAGUUCACAAGCUCCAUAGUUAUCCCCUACAAAGCUUUUGGUAGGUGAGGAUUGGCUGUGAGAUUUCAUUCAUACCAUGAUAUAGUAAGCCCUCGAGAAGAUUCUGCUAAUUAGGUCUUUCAGAUGUAUUUGUCUUAUUUGUUUUCUUUUUGAAACUUUUUUUACUUUGUUUUUUUUUUAACUAUAACACAUUUUUAAAAUAUGGCUGGCAAAUUCCCAAUGUAAAGUCUUCCAACGUAAUAGCAGUAAGAUGAGAGAGAUGGGUAUGUAGACCAGAAAAAUGCACAUACCUAACCUGCAACGUUCCUAGGAACUACCAUUAUCUGAAUUUCCUAGAAGUUGAUUGAUUUUUUUUAUUUGAAAAUACUCAGUGGAGGUGAUGGUUGUUCCUUUGUCAGAUAGUGCUUAUGAUUGGUAUGGGUAAAAGUACAGGGAUAGGUAGGUAACCUUUUCAGAGUAGCACUUAUCCUGUUUAAUGGCGACUUGUCACUGGUUGAACUUAAGUUAUUUAACUUCUGCUCACAGCAGAACAUCCUCUGUUUGCCACUAAUUUGUAUAGCAUCCAUAUAAUGUGGUAUACUGGUUAGGUAAGCUACAUAUUUUAUGUGCAAAGCUUUUUGUUAUCUGCCUCUUUUAACUGCGCAUGUCGAGUGGCUGUUUUUUGUACAUAUUUUAUUUUGAAAAAUGGAACUAUACUUUGGCCCCUGUAACUUUUUCACCCCAGAACAUAAGUGUUUCUGAAGAAAUCUAAUUCAUUUCAUGUAUGUGUUGUGUUGUGUUAUUUUGUGUUGUUUGUUUUUUUUCUUAGGUGUAUAAUGUCUGGUGCAUUAGAAACAUUGCAUUGUCUUACUAAUUCUUUAAUUAUACAGAAAUUUCCUUAGGAAAGUCAACCAUC
rnacentral:lncRNA from 1 species